rnacentral:rRNA from 1 species
ACGUAGGGGGCAAGCGUUGAUCGGAAUCACUGGGCUUACAGCGCGUGUAGGCGGGGCGGCAGGUCUUCUGUGAAAGCCCCCGGCUCAACCGGGCGAGGACGUGCGGAACUGCUGAACUAGAGGCAGGUAGAGGCGUGUGGAAUUCCGGGUGUAGUGGUGAAAUGCGUAGAGAUCCGGAGGAACACCAGCGGCGAAGGCGACGCGCUGGGCCUGACCUGACGCUAAGACGCGAGAGCAUGGGGAGCGAACGG